AGCAGCCGCGGUAAUUCCAGCUCCAAUAGCGUAUAUUAAAGUUGUUGCAGUUAAAAAGCUCGUAGUUGAACUUCGGGGUCUACCCAUUGGUCAGGCUUAAUUGUCUGCACUGGUGAGAUGGAUCUCUACCUUCUGAGGAACUUUCAUGCCAUUUAUUUGGUGUGGUUGGAAAUCAGGACUGUUACUUUGGAAAAUUAGAGUGUUUAAAGCAGACUAUCGUCUGAAUACAUUAGCAUGGAAUAAUGAAAUAGGACGGACUGAUUCAUUUCGUUGGUUUCUAGGAUCACCGUAAUCGAUUAAUAGGGAUAGUUGGGGGCAGUUAGGUAUUCAAUUGUCAGAGGUGAAAUUCUGGAUUUAUGAAGACUUACUACUGCGAAAGCAUUUGCCAAGGNUGUUUCAUUAA
rnacentral:rRNA from 1 species